CUACGGGUCGCUGCAGUGAGGAAUAUUGCACAAUGGGGGAAACCCUGAUGCAGCAACGCCGCGUGGAGGAUGACGCAUUUCGGUGUGUAAACUCCUUUUAUGAGUCAAGAAAAUGACAGUAGCUCAUGAAUAAGCACCGGCUAACUCCGUGCCAGCAGCCGCGGUAAUACGGAGGGUGCAAGCGUUACUCGGAAUCACUGGGCGUAAAGGACGCGUAGGCGGGCUUGUAAGUCAGGUGUGAAAUCCUACAGCUUAACUGUAGAACUGCACUUGAAACUACGAGCCUAGAGUAUGGGAGGGGGAGAUGGAAUUAGUGGUGUAGGGGUAAAAUCCGUAGAUAUCACUAGGAAUACCGAAAGCGAAGGCGAUCUCCUGGAACAUUACUGACGCUAAGGCGUGAAAGCGUGGGGAGCAAACAGGAUUAGAUACCCUUGUAGUC
rnacentral:rRNA from 1 species